rnacentral:rRNA from 1 species
UACGAAGGAUGCAAGCGUUAUCCGGAUUUAUUGGGUUUAAAGGGAGCGUAGGCGGUCUUAUAAGUCAGUGGUGAAAUCUCGUUGCUUAACAACGACCGUGCCAUUGAUACUGUAGGACUUGAGUACAGUUGCCGUUGGCGGAAUGUGUCAUGUAGCGGUGAAAUGCAUAGAUAUGACACAGAACACCGAUUGCGAAGGCAGCUGACGAAACUGUAACUGACGCUGAGGCUCGAAAGCGUGGGGACCAAACAGG